UCAGGGCGCUUCAUGGCGGCGACUUCACCUCCUCCUACCCCUAAAGAAAUGAGCCCCGCCAGGGUACACCUCGAGUCCUGUGUCCAGUUCUGGGCCCCUCAGCUCAGGAAGGAGAUUGAGAUCCAGAUAUCCUUCACUCUCUGCCUUCUGUCCCAGCCACAACCAUCCAGGAAUUCAGAUGUGAUGCAGGCUCAGCUGUCAGUGGAGUCCUCGUCUUGGAAAGAGAAGUCCUCAGACACCUGGGGAUUCAAAGGUUGUGUCUUCUGCCAUAUGACACAGGAGGAGGAGGGCGAGUAAAGCAGCCAAACCCACACGAUAAAUUUACACAGAAACUCAUCCCCCUCCCACCCCAAAUCAAACACAAGUUGUAGACACAGCUUCUCUGUCUCUUUAAAGCUUUAUCAACUUCCAGACAUACACCAGAAGAUAAAAGAGGAAGAAAAUUAGUGUGGGAAAAUGGGGUUUAGAAUAAGGUUUCUGACAGAGGUAAUCCAUGGACUAAAAGUGCUGUUGUAUGCAAGCAGACAGAACUUCUGUGGCUACAGUCCUCCUUACUCCCAUUUCUGUUAAAACAGAAGAUAGAGACUUCCUAGUCCAGUGCCCAAAAAAGACUAGAGAGGUUUGUAACUUCUGGAAGUGAGAAAACUCACUCUGUGGUUUAGGAAACUGUUUUUGAAUGUUGAUUUUAAUCCCAGCUUGUUGCAAUGACCAAAAGCCUCAGCCUGAGAAACCAGAGGGUAUUUUUAGCUAAUAUGGACUUCACAUUACAUCUCUAGUGUGGGAUUAGUAGCUCAGUUACCUCUAAGCUUCAGAAUUCCUACCUUUGCCCUGCCUCUGGAGAGCUGUAUUCCUGCCAGGUCCUAGCCAGCAAAAUGCUGAAGCUAUACAGGCCCUCGAGUUCUCUCCAGUACCAUUCCCUGUACCACCCAAUGGAAAAACAUCAGAAAAUGAAAUGCAGAGUUGUUCCUGCAGCCAGACUGCAGCUGUAUCAGACAGGCACUCACAAGUGCAUGCAUAUCCCUAGUAAUUACACACACACACACACACACACACAGAGCCUUACAACACCGAGAUGCUGCCCCAGGCAGACCCCAAACCCAAAAGACUGAACCCAGCUGAGGAAGGCAGCAGAGGCAACAGGAGGAAAAUCAGAGCAAAAUCUCUGCAACCCCCAGAUCAGAACUCAGACUGGUGACUGAGUACACAGCCAGCCAGAGCCUGACCUCACACUGCAACAGGCAAAUCCAUCAGGACACCUGUAUAGAACUGCAGGCUUUGUUCCCAUAGAAAAGCCAGCUGAAGGCAGAGAGACACCUUGUUCCAACUCAGUGACUGAGCACAUGCUGCAUCUCUCCUAAAUUAACUGCAAACCCUUAUGCCAAGUGGCACAGGGCUUAAAAAAUAUGGAAAAUCGUGAGCAUAAGAUGGAAAACACAACAGAAGACAGAAAAUCUAUUUUUUUGAAUCAUACUGGGAACAACUCAGCCUUAAAUUAACACUGUGCUGCAGUAAAGAGUCACUCAAGUCAUUUUUUUGCCCACUAAGAAGAAUAACAGAAUUCAGGCCAGCUUUGACAAAGUUAAUUCACAUGCUUUGUCCCCAGCAGCUGGAGGGUUGGUUGAUUUGCUUUAUUAAUACAACUCUCUGACAACUUCUGCUAGUAGGCAGGAUCAAAUUCAGAUGUAGAGUCAAUUCCAAACUGCUACUUCAAGCAAUUGGGAGCAGGUUUGGUUUGGUUUUUUUAAUUUUUAUAAAAUGAAAGAGAAACAUUUCUACUUAUUACAACACAAAAGAGGUCUUCUGGUGGCUACCAGCUCAGAAAUAUUUCCAUUUGAUGCCACUUACUUGGAACUUUUGCCUGAGUUGGUCAGCCAUGCUAACCCACAGCUGCUAAGAGGUCAUCCUCAGAAAAAGCCCUUUUCCAGUUUUCAUCCAGUGACAGACCUCUCUGCAUCAAAUCUUCCUCUUCUCCCACUCGUACUUGGAGUACUGGAUUCAGUGUGUAACACACACACCAUUUUGGGGCAAUUAAAAAAAAAAAAAAAAAAAAAUCUCUGUUUUUGUUCUUAUCAGCACCUGAAUGCUUUAUCCUUGCUAGGAGGAAAAGCUACUCUUCUAUCAGUUUUCUUAAAAAGUGAAAUAUUUAGUGUUUGGAAGACUGUAGAAUGCU